AGCGAACGCUGGCGGCAGGCCUAACACAUGCAAGUCGAACGAAGUCUUCGGACUUAGUGGCGGACGGGUGAGUAACACGUGGGAACGUGCCUUUAGGUUCGGAGUAACUCAGGGAAACUUGUGCUAAUACCGAAUGUGCCCUUCGGGGGAAAGAUUUAUCGCCUUUAGAGCGGCCCGCGUCUGAUUAGCUAGUUGGUGAGGUAAAGGCUCACCAAGGCUACGAUCAGUAGCUGGUCUGAGAGGAUGACCAGCCACAUUGGGACUGGGACACGGCCCAAACUCCUACGGGAGGCAGCAGUGGGGAAUCUUGCGCAAUGGGCGAAAGCCUGACGCAGCCAUGCCGCGUGGAUGAUGAAGGUCUUAGGAUUGUAAAAUCCUUUCACCGGUGAAGAUAAUGACUGUAGCCGGAGAAGAAGCCCCGGCUAACUUCGUGCCAGCCGCCGCAGUAAGAC
rnacentral:rRNA from 1 species